rnacentral:rRNA from 1 species
CACUGGUCGAGUCGGCCUGCGCGGAAGAUGUAACGGGGCUAAACCAUGCACCGAAGCUGCGGCAGCGAACGUAUCACUUAAAACGAUUCACAGGCUUAACGGCUGACGGAGCGAAGCGACGUCAAAGCGUUUUACAAAGUCGAGUCGGUUUAGGGAUACGUUCGUUGGGUAGGGGAGCGUUCUGUAAGCCGUAGAAGGUGGUCUGUGAGGACUGCUGGAGGUAUCAGAAGU